ACUAUGGCUCUAACACUGUGUGAGAAAAUGCAUAGUAUACUGCGUGUCUAUAAACCCCCCCCGACUAUGUACCCUAACUCCACCUUGUUCUCCAGGUAAAGUCAGAUCACUAAUUAAAGGGUUUAGUCUCUGACACCCAACACCUCUUAUUCCUGCUGUACAGCAGAAAAGUUUUAUUUUUCUUUUGGUGAAGAUGGAUUUCAUUGCCACACUGAGUCUCCUGAUUGUCACAGAAAUGUGAUGCCCUUCCUGAUGGCGCCACCUCUGGGCCAGUUUGGGUUCUGCUUCAGAUGGGUUAUCUAAUGAAACAUUCUGUUUUCUAUAAGGCUGGAGAUUGAGUUUUGAUUCUUAAGGCAAAUUUUUGCCAGAUCUCUUGUCGAUUAAAUCAAAUCCCACCAGAGCAUUUUUGUGUUCUGUUUCUCAGUAGGAUUCUCAUCAGACUUUUGACUGGGCUUCUCAUAUGAUUCCACAUUCGACUUCCCCUUGUGUUCAGAAUCACAAGCUUUUUGCAGAUUAAGAUGGUUUGCCUGUGGAAUUCUGUCAGUUUCCCUAAACCAGAAAACACUUUUGAAAGGUACCAUUGAAAGGUACAGAUACAUUUGUUCAAACAUUCAAACAAGCUUGGGGCUAGAAAGCAGGUCAGCCAGCAUGCUGCGGCAGUUGGGGUUGAGGGCCUUGCUGAAGGACUCAACAAUGAUAUGCUUAUUCUACUAUCAAUGGGAUCUGAACCCACAACACAAGUGCAGUUUUUCUUAAAGGGCAAGUUUCCACAAACACAGCUAGCAUGUCAACCCUUAGCUUACCGAGAAUGCACGUACUUUACAGAGCACUUUGUAUUGGCUCAGUGGGCUAAGCCCCUGUACCUGUAUUUGGAAGGUUGCUGGUUCAAGCCUGGUUUCGGCACGUCUAUGGGUCAUGGAGCACGGCCAUUAAGACCCCGGAUACCUGAGUGCAGCAGUUGUCCUAGAUGACCUGCUUGCUCUCACGAAUAACAAGAUGGGGAAGUUGAAGAGAGAAUCUCCCUGGGGGGGGUCAAUAAAGUAUCUUUUAUUAUCAAUGAUGCUGGAGCUCAAGGGCUGAGCAGUGCAUGGGCGCAGUAUCCACUAGGGGGCAGUCAUGGACUUUUUAUGGCAAUUGACAGUUGCCUCCAAAUAGUUUGUAUAAUUUAUUGAGAAAAUGAUUUGGAGGUUUUAAUGCUUCAACAUGGUCCAAGAAGACACUGUUUGCACCAUAAUUUCACCUCUGAGAUUAAUGAAGUCUGUAUCUAUUUCUGCCCCAUCUUAACUAUUUCAGGUAUACAGAACAUCCUCACAAACAACCAUUAACAUUAUUGAGAACGUAAAAUAUUUUUUCAUAGGAAUUAAUACAUGACAGUAAGAUUUUCAAGUUUAGCCGAUACUGAUGCAUUAACCAUGUAGUUUACAAGAUCUGAUGUGAAGCAUGUAAAGCGCUUUGGCUCGACUCUGAUGUGAAAGGUGCUCCUAUCAAGAAAUGUGACUCCUCUGCUGAAGUUGACUGGCGCAACGAAUCAUGAAGUCUUUUCAGUAUUAUAAUGUACAAUGACAAUGAAGUGUUUUUCACUGCAUAGUCCCAGUUUGUUUGUUUGCGGUCACAAGAUCUGAUGGCUGCUAUGAAAUAUUGAGACCCCUCUGCCCUGAUUAAGCUACAGUAAUUCCUCAUGGUGUGUGCUUGAUCUUAACCCUAACCCUAACUCUAACCCUAACCCUAACUUAACCUUACUUUUCUGUUAUUGUGUUAAAAAUGCUCCUAUGAAGUUUAAUAAAUACAUUGAAACAUAGAAAUCAUUCCCUGCUGCUUCAGUAUUACCUCCAUAGAAUCUGAUCUUCUUGCUUCAACAUACGAAGCGAAGCAAAAGGAGCAGUUAUUCAGAAGUUUGAUUGGGACGUUUUCAGACCAGUUUUCUGAAGACGAGCAGAGUGUAAGAAAAUUCUUCUACACAUGAAUACAGAAUCACUAAGCUGUUCUGAUUGUAGUCUUUAGGGUAGUGUGGUUGACUAAGGAGAACACAGUGAUGAAAUAAGCACCUUAUACUGUUCUAUAUAAACCUUAUACUGCUCUAUAUAAACAUUUUCUGCUUAUCUCCUGUCAUCUAGGAUGCCCAUGAGUUUCUCAGUUACCUGAUAUCCUGGUUAACUGACAUGAGAGUAUCAGUUCAGGCCAGGGAGAAUACAGCAAUGUACCUCUGUCCGGACGAGGCAAACCUGGCCUUUGAGAUGCUCUGUCGGAAGACCUGUACCAGGUAAACGCUGCAGGUUUCACUGGUUUUACACACCUGUCUGAAUGCCUUGCGUGCUGCUGCCACAAAGACCUAAACUAUUGAUAGACCUGCAUUAGGGAUCCAGUUCUUAUUGAAGGUCCAGAUGUUAUUGAUUCGGCAUAUUAGAAAUAUUCAGUUUCUUUGUAUCUCUUUCCUCCCUUGGUUUCCGGAAGCUGUGGAGCACAGACCUCCAGGACAAAUGAUUUAAAUAAUCUGUCCUUGGAUGUCCUUCCCCGUUGGUCUGUGCAAGACCUCCUGAAGCACUACUUCAAGGUGUCUGUGGUGCCGCACACACAGGAUCACUCACAGAUACUAUCAUCCUAUACUAGCUGGCACUGAUACUUAGAGGUGUUGUGUUGUAAUGGUCCUGGUGAAAGGCGCUCAUCACUGAGUACUGCUGUGUGCUGUUAUAGGAUAUGGAGGUGGAGUUCACAUGUGCUGCCUGCAGGGGGAGCCAGGCUGUGCUCUCGUGGGCAUUCGUCACACUGCCUUGAGUCCUGGUCCUGCACUUGAAAAGGUUCAGAAUUACGGCACAAUACCAGCUGAAGAAAGUGCAGGACCCGGUUCUCCUCUGUCGGGAGGUCACCUUGCUCCCCCACCUCAGUGAGGAGAUCUCCCAGCUGACGGUGACUCUCCAGACAGUGGAACCUCUACUGAAAGAAGCACAUCUGUCAGCUGGAGGUCUAGAUCACGGGGAUCAUCGGGGUUCAGCCGUCAGGUGCAGGAUGGGGGGAAUCGAGCCCCCAAAAACGCAGGACCUGACGGCAGAGGUACCAGAUGAUGCCCUGAG